rnacentral:tRNA from 1 species
GGUGUAGUAGCUGAGUGGUAGAGCCCCCGCCUCUCAUGCAGAAGAAGACCUGGGUUCGAUUCCCGGCUGCUCCC